AACGAACGCUGGCGGCAGGCUUAACACAUGCAAGUCGAGCGCCCCGCAAGGGGAGCGGCAGACGGGUGAGUAACGCGUGGGAAUCUACCCAUCUCUACGGAAUAACGCAUGGAAACGUGUGCUAAUACCGUAUACGUCCUUCGGGAGAAAGAUUUAUCGGAGAUGGAUGAGCCCGCGUUGGAUUAGCUAGUUGGUGGGGUAAAGGCCUACCAAGGCGACGAUCCAUAGCUGGUCUGAGAGGAUGAUCAGCCACACUGGGACUGAGACACGGCCCAGACUCCUACGGGAGGCAGCAGUGGGGAAUAUUGGACAAUGGGCGCAAGCCUGAUCCAGCCAUGCCGCGUGAGUGAUGAAGGCCCUGGGGUUGUAAAGCUCUUUCACCGGUGAAGAUAAUGACGGUAACCGGAGAAGAAGCCCCGGCUAAUCUCGUGCCAGCAGCCGCCGCGGUAA
rnacentral:rRNA from 1 species